rnacentral:siRNA from 1 species
GAAAAACUACUCCGGGUUCCCUAG